AGCUAAUAACUAUGAACAGAGCCAUCAUACUAGAUAUUCAAUACAUUUAACAUCAACGUUGUUGCAAAGUAUCCUGAAUACAGGCUUCUUUACAGUUAUCUCUCGUUGAUCCAACUCCGAAUCCAGCUAACAUUUUAGAACGAUGACAAACUUACAUAGGGGCUAAAGGAAGUUGAUGAACAGAAAACAUAAUAUGUAAACGAUGUUGAGGUAUACCGUCCUAGAUUGAAGACUUUGGAAGCAUUACUUGAUGGUGAUGUAGCGAUUCGUCCCAUGCUUUGCCCAGUUGUUCUUAAGAUCAACUGGAUUUGAUAGAUCAUGGCCUUCGGCUGCCAGACGACUAAGCAGCUUGGUGAAUGCACUUCCACUCAUUUUUCUACCACCAAUUCGAGCAUGUCGUUUGUUGGGAACAGCUGGUAGAGGAUACAUCGACAAAUUGGUUGUGCAACAUGAAGAUUGCCAACCUCCAUUUCCCCAUUUGUAGCAAGGUCUCAAGACUCCGGUGCAGGAACAGACUGGGACUGGCAUGGUUGUUUCAUCAAAAGCAACUUGAUUGAGCCCGAGGUCCUGAUCCUUCCAGUCGGGUUUUGCCACAGAUAACUGUCUGUUAAGGUCAUCACUUGCCCCAACCAUCUCUUGCGCACCCUUCCACUCUGGAGACUUGCCAUAUGUGGUUUGGUUAAGAUCUUCAGUUUCCCUUUUUACUUUCUUUGAUGCUUUUGGAGUCUUCUUGGAACCUGUUGCUGCCUUUGGCUCCUUGGCUCUUUUGUUUCGACGGGGCUUUGCUGGCUCCGGAGCAGGUUGGGAAACUGGUAUGGCUUCAACCAUGUGCAUUUCUCUGGGGUUAUAUGUUGGUUCUCCCAUAUGUGGCUGGUGAUGUACAUGUUGCUGAGGAUGGUGCAUAUGUUUCACUCCACGGACAAUCUGACCAGCAGUCAUAGAGGUUUCACGAUACUGAAGUGUAGCAAAGGCAUUAUCCCGCUCCAUGAUGGCAUUAUUUCGUUCUGCUAUUGCUGAAUCCCGCUGCAGGAUAGCCAUGUCACGCUCUGCCAAGGCAGCCUUUUUUUCAGAAAGGGCCAGAUUCCUCUCUUGUAUGGCAGCAUCUCUUUCUGCCAUGAUGGCCAUUAUCUGCUUCAUUGAUGGCUGAUGCUGCAUCAACCACUGACCCUGAGGCGGUUUAUGCCUUCCAUUAUCGCGAUUCCCGCUGUCAUCCAUAUGAUAUAUGCAGGUAGUUAAUGUCAAAAUAAGCGUCAGCCCUCAAUCCAACUGAACCGACAUAUACUCAUCAAGGAAAAACCAACACCGACUACCAACAGUUCAGAUCUGCAUUCUCUUAGUCAAGGCUGAAUCAUAAAGAACCAACAAAAUACACAAAAAGUAGAAAAAGAAGAUACACCCAUUAAAGACUACAUGUAAAGCUUACAUAGCAGAGCUGAUACAUAUCUGAGAAAAAAUAAAAAUCAAGAAAGAAAGAGGGUCAAAACUCAAAACCCUAACUUGAAAGAGAUAAAUAUCAGUGAAGAAAGAGCAGUAGUUGAAAG
rnacentral:misc_RNA from 1 species